rnacentral:rRNA from 1 species
UACGUAGGGUGCGAGCGUUGUCCGGAAUUACUGGGCGUAAAGCGUGCGCAGGCGGUUCGUUGUGUCGGCGGUGAAAGCCCCGAGCUCAACUUGGGAAUGGCAUUGGAAACUGGCGGGCUGGAGUGUGGCAGAGGGGGGUGGAAUUCCACGUGUAGCAGUGAAAUGCGUAGAGAUGUGGAGGAACACCGAUGGCGAAGGCAGCCCCCUGGGCCAACACUGACGCUCAGGCACGAAAGCGUGGGGAGCAAACAGG